UGGUAUAAUGGUUAAGUGCUUGGCUGCUAACCAAAAGGCUGGUGGUUCAAAUCCACC
rnacentral:tRNA from 1 species